UACGUAGGGGGCGAGCGUUAUUCGGAUUUACUGGGCGUAAAGCGCGUGUAGGCGGCUGGUUAAGCGUGAUGUGAAAUCUCCGGGCUCAACCCGGAAACUGCAUUGCGAACUGGCCUGGCUGGAGUGCAGGAGAGGGUAGUGGAAUUCCCGGUGUAGCGGUGAAAUGCGUAGAUAUCGGAAGGAACGCCGGUGGCGAAAGCGACACACUGGAUCUUGUCUGACGCUGAGGCACGAAAGCCAGGGGAGCGAACGGG
rnacentral:rRNA from 1 species